CCCGGCCGUGGUGCGCAGGCGCAGUCUGCGCAGGGACUGGCGGGACUGCGCGGAGGCGACUGCAGACGUAUCGGGGGUCCGGAGCCUGUCGCGGCUGCUAAGCGCUCGGCGCCUGGCGCUGGCGCUGGCCAAGGCUUGGCCAACAGUGUUGCAAACAGGAACCCGAGGUGUUCACUUCACUGUUGAAGGAACGAGAGGGCAUCUGCUAAAGUUUCAGAUUCCAUUUCUGCUCAGUAUCCAGUAGUGGAUCAUGAAUUUGAUGCAGUGGUGGUAGGCGCUGGAGGGGCAGGCUUUGCGAGCUGCAUUUGGCCUUUCCGAGGCAGAGUUUGAUACAGCAUGUGUUACCAAGCUGUUUCCUACCAGGUCACACACUGUUGCAGCGCAGGUUGGAAUCAAUGCUGCUCUGGGGAACAUGGAGGAGGACAACUGGAGGUGGCAUUUCUAUGACACCGUGAAGGGCUCCGACUGGCUGGGGGACCAGGAUGCCAUCCACUACGUGACGGAGCAGGCCCCCACUGCCAUGGUCGAGCUAGAAAAUUAUGGCAUGCCGUUUAGCAGAACUGAAGAUGGGAAGAUUUAUCAGCGUGCAUUUGGUGGACAGAGCCUCAAGUUUGGAAAGGGCAGGCAGGCCCAUCGGUGCUGCUGUGUGGCUGAUCGGACCGGCCACUCAAUAUUGCACACCUCAUAUGGGAGGUCUCUGAGAUAUGAUACCAGCUGUUUUGUGGAGUAUUUUGCCUUGGAUCUCCUGAUAGAGAACAGGGAGUGCCGUGGUGUCAUUGCACUGUGCAUAGAGGACGGGUCCAUCCAUCACAUAAGAGCAAAGAACACUGUUGUUGCCACAGGAGUCAAGAAACUUUUCUUUUGAGCUAUUGACAGCUUUUAACAAGUUAUUAUACUCCUAUGAACAAAAUUUGGAGCAUAUUUGUUUCUCUCUGCCUGAUUUCUCCUGAAUUUGGAAACUAUUUUGCCAUGGUCUCCAUGAACUGAUUUUUUUGUGCAGUGGGCAGGAAGAACCCAUCGGGCAGCUACACAUCUUGAAAGAGAAGCUCUUCCUGUGAGAUUGUUUGCUGUUGGCAUAUACAAAUGCUAGAGAUUUUUGUAUGUUGAUUUUGUAUCCUGCAACUUUGCUGAAAUUUGUUUACCAGUUCUAAUAGUUCUUUGGUGGAGUCUUCAGCUUUUUCCAAAUAUAAGAUCAUAUCAUCUGCAAACAAAGAUAAUUUGACUUCUUCCAUUCUAA
ensembl:lncRNA SDHAP4 SDHA pseudogene 4